ensembl:lncRNA
CCGCCCCGUCAGGACCCGCGGCAGCUGCCCCCGUCCCCCCGUCCCCGAGGAGCGACGCCGAAGGAGCGGGAGCGACUCACUCAUGGGAGCGCGGCGGGCGAGGCCGGCGACACCUCCGGCUUCCGAGGCGCCGGCGAAGUUAAUUGCACUGAAGUUCAAGUUGUCUUUUCACCCAUCAGGAGUGGGCGUUUAAAGGAAGGAGAGCGAGGAGGAGGAGGGGGAGGGGGGAGAGCCUCUCUCGCUCGCUUUCGCACACACACACACACACACACACACACACAUACACAGAGAGAGAGAGAGAGAGACGCGCACACAGACACACGCACACAGACGCGCACGCCCGCCCGCUCCCGCGCUGCCUCAGCAGGAGGAGCCCGGCCGGAACACACCAGGGCAGCACCAGGUGAGGUAAUGAAACUGUUGAAUCUGCAGACUGAAACCGUCAGAAGCCUUUCCUGAGGUGCCCCUUACUGAAAUGCUACUGUGGCAUAAUGAUUUGGAAAUAAGCUUUUGUGUGAGAAGAGCUAUCGGAUCCUCUGGGAAACAUUACAGAUACUUUCCAGUUCCUUUCAGACAUCUGGAACUUGAAAUGGUCAAUAUUGAGAAGAAAAACUGCAUAAAUGUGUGUAUAUGUAAGAGUUAUGUUGACCCAUGAUUAAAAGAGAGGGUCCUCUUCUGCUGUUCAUCACAAAUGAUAACAGAACUCUCCAUAAUGCUCAGAUGCUUGCAUCGAUCCCAAGAAAUGCGAACUUUAUGAAGUAUGACUUGUUUCCGUCUCAAAGUGUGCAGCUAUAGCUAUAGCACUGAAAACCGUUGCAUGCUAUCUAGCAUUUCUCAUGAUUUUUGCUUUCUUCAUGAUUUAAGCUAAGCACAUCAGAAACUGAAGAUAACGUUUUAACCUAUAAGAACAGCAGCCUGACUUCUGUAAUGUGCUCAUGUGCUAUUACCUGUGAAACAGAGCAAGAAGACUGCUCACUAGCAGGGUCUGCCCAUCGCUGUCCAGCUGCCUAAUGACAUGUUAAGACUUGGUUUCAGCAACUGUGCUCCAACCAGUAUUACUAUAAUUGGUUGCAGUUGAAGAUGUCAGUAAAAAAAUACAAUCAGGCUGGAGUGUCCUAUGCAUAUUUUAAAUGCAAAUGGCCGUUAUCAGCUGUAUCAUAACUUUAUCUGAUGUCUGAUCUUAGUGGUGGCUCUGUGGAAAAGACUCAGAUGACUUUUUCUGAACACAGCUGCUCCUUUCAGUGCAUUUCUGCAGUCUUUUGAUUAUCUUACUUACUAUCUGUUGGCUAGACACCAACCUCCUGAACUUAGGCCUGUGUCACCUCACUACCUGUGUCUCUCCUAAAAAAUCUGUUCAUUCAAAAGGAUAUCAUGCCAACAAUAUAACAGAUUAAUCUGUCUUUCUGCAAACUGGCUUGAGUUUCUUCCAGCCACUCACUGGGGGUGCUUGUUUCCAGGCCCUGAUGCUGCACAGUACCUCAAUCCAUUCAGCUUCUCUUCAAGAUGGUAACUACUUUCCGCUCCACAUCUCUGCUGCAGAAGAUCUUGUGAUUACCUGAAAAAGUGAAUUGCAUCCUGUAGAUUUCCCCUUAAAACUUCUGCUUCACAGAAGAGAUCAGCUUGUGACAGAUGCGUCAGCAAUGUCAGACUCACUUCUCUGUUGCCUAAUUGCCCUCUCCACCUUCUGUCAAUCUGAAACUCUCAUUUUGGAAAGGACUGAAGGAGUUGUAUUAAUAUUUGUGCUAUCCACAUUUUUCCUGCAUAUUGUCUGCUCCUUCCCUUGGUGUCUGGUUUGUCUUGGCUGCUUUUAAAAAUUCUGUUGCCUCUAGUGAGGGACUGCCAGAUUAAACCAGUACAGAGAAUCCAGGUGACUGUCUACUUUUACAAAUAUAGGUUGUGUAUAAUAAAUUCAGGUUUUACAUCUAUGCAAAUUAAGUCAUCAUAUGAUUAUGACUACAUGCAUUUUUUUAUCAAAUAUGGCAUAUAUUUCACAAAUUAUAUUUAACUUAUACACAUGUUGCUAUUCUGAAUACCUGACUAGGAAUUACAAAGUGUGUCACUAGAUCUUAGUAAGUGGGCUUAUGGAACAAGAAGAAAUAAGAGAAAAUCACCUCUUUUCCUUGCAUUCCUGACAAGUCCAGUGUAAGGGCUUUUCCUACUCUAGAUGGCAAUAUAAACACCUUACCACAGAGCUGUUGAGAGAUAAAAGUACAUCUUGUUGUUGGAAACUUAAAGAAUGUAUGAAAAACAAAACAAAAUACCCUAAAAAAGGAAGUUUUAAAGUAAUGUGUCUUUGGUCUAGUGUUUGUCACAUCUACUUGGUAUGGCCUUCCUCUAAUGUUUCAGUCAUGCAGUGUAAGACAUUAGUCACAAUGUCAAAAUAAGCACAUUACUUCUGCAAAAAUGUAUUUUCACCUCAGGAAUAUUGUGAAGUGAAAAUAGGAUUUAGCACAAUUCUUCCUUUUGAGUUUUUCUACAGACAGGACAGUUUUAGUGUAAAGCUCUAAAUCUUGCAAGAUUAUUCCCAGCAUUAGGUACGACACAUCUGGAAGAAUCUGCCAACUGAGUGCUAGCAAGGAUUACGCUGAGAAGGUAACAACUCAGUGCUUUCACUGUUAACCGUCCUCCACAACUGCUGUUUUUUGGUGUUUUUGUGUGUGUGUGUUCGUUUGUUUCUUUGUUUUCCGAAUAAAUAAACAAAUACUUUGUUGAGCUCAA